rnacentral:misc_RNA from 1 species
GACUAAUUGGGAUUGCCGCGUGAUGUUGGAAUCCGAAUGCAGAUUCAAGAGAAUUAGAAAGCCUCCCUACUUUAAUAGGUGGAUCAACUUAAAGAUGCCCUUCCAAGAGGUGUUCAGUGUUGUACACUGCAACCUGAAAGAUGCAGUCAAGCUGGCUGGACUGACAUGGGAGGGCCGCCCACAUUGCGGCCUUGAUGACGCCCGUAACACCGCUCGCCUCCUUGUCGUCCUGAUGAACCGAGGCUACAGGUUCUCGAUAGCCAACUCACUUGUGUGGCAUCCACUAGAUCGUCCACCAAUAUG